rnacentral:lncRNA from 1 species
CCCUCUGUCCCCUCUUCUACCUCUCCCCAGAUGAGCUCAUCAUAUCCAUGGCUACCCUUGCCAUUGCCAUGCCAAUGAGGGGGACAGCCCGGCCACCCACAAGGAUCCAGGACAAUGAUGCUUACCUCAGCCACCCAGGACCUAAUUAUGAAACACGCAGAGUAAAGAUUCCAGAAGACUUUUGAAAACAACAUUGUGUGUGC